AGGACGAACGCUGGCGGCGCGCUUAACACAUGCAAGUCGAGCGAGAACCAGGGCUUCGGCCCUGGGGACAGCGGCGAACGGGUGAGUAACACAUGGGUAACCUGCCCUCGGCACCGGAAUAGCCCGGGGAAACCCGGAUUAAUGCUGGAUAGCCUCACGGACCCUCGGGUCUGUGAGAAAAGGUAGCUUCGGCUUCCGGCUGAGGAUGGGCCCGCGGCCGAUUAGCUUGUUGGUGAGGUAACGGCUCACCAAGGCGACGAUCGGUAGCUGGUCUGAGAGGACGAUCAGCCACACUGGGACUGAGACACGGCCCAGACUCCUACGGGAGGCAGCAGUGGGAAUCUUGCGCAAUGGGCGAAGGCCUGACGCAGCGACGCCGCGUGCGGGAAGAAGGCCUUCGGGUUGUAAACCGCUUUACAGGAGGUACGAAGCCACUCAGUUAAUAGCCGAGAGGUGACGGUACCUCCGAGAAGAAGCCCCGGCUAACGACGUGCCAGCCAGCCGC
rnacentral:rRNA from 1 species